AGUCUAGGGGUCUAGGACGUAAGAUUUUCCUUCUUAAAACAGAGGUUCGAAUCCUCU
rnacentral:tRNA from 1 species